UCAGCCAUGCUCCUGCUGCUCAUCUCAGUGCUUGACGUGAUUUUUGCCCCAAGAGGAACCGGAGCUCAGUCGGUGACCCAGCCUGAUGCCCAUGUCACUGUCUCUGAAGAAGCUGCUAUGGAGCUGAGGUGCAACUAUUCCUAUAGUGGAACUCCUUAUCUCUACUGGUACGUGCAGUACCCCAACCAAGGCCUCCAGCUUCUCCUCCGGUACUUUUCAGGGAACACCCUGGUUAAAGACAUCAAAGGUUUCGAGACUGAAUUUAGGAAGACUGAAUCCUCCUUCCACCUGAGGAAACACUCAGCGCAUGGGAGCGAUACUGCCGAGUACUUCUGUGCUGUGAGUGACACAGUGUCUGGGACUGCAGGGGGAGCUGAACACAAACCUCCUGAGACACUGGGACUUUUUGUGACUCAGGACCUCAAGAGAGAGUUUCCCCAGAUCUCUUCCUCAGUGAAGAAAUAUAGGGCAGGACAGGCUGGGCUCUGGGAAAUGCUUUACUCUUGA